GGGCAGCCGCUCUGGCUAUUGUACAAGGCACAGGGAUGCGGUAACGGUUAUACGACGAACAGUACUCCUCCACACAACCUCUCUCCUGACACGUACAACCUCUCUCCUGACCCUGUGGUCCCCUCACAAGGGGCGGGACUCGCCGCUUCCACUUCCUGGUAAAGAUGGCGGCUCCCGCAGUGUUAUGGCGACGGCUCCGCGGUCCGGGGCUCAUGGCCCUCUUGGCUCGUCUCUGUGACAGGAACCGGGACCGAGCGGGCAGGACACCUUUAUUUCUUCUGGCCCCUCUUGUUGCUCCCUCUGUUUCACCAGCUGCUACUCAGCCCCCUCCUUUAGGUGUUUGUCCAAGGGGCGCACAUCGAUUUCAAUGGGUGGGGAACCUAGUUCCAGAAUUUGGAAUCUCCAGUUUGAAUGUGAAGAUUCUCUCCAGUCCGGCGGAGUUCUACCAAGUCAUGAAAGCUCAAGUAAAAACCGCCAAUAAGCGAAUUGUGAUGGCAUCUCUCUACCUGGGGACAGGCGUCCUGGAACAAGAACUGGUGGACUGCAUAGAGGAAACCCUGCAGAGAACAGGCAAGACUGACCUCCAAGUCUCCAUUUUGCUGGAUUACACCAGAGGAUCGCGGGGAAAGAAGAACUCUCGCACCAUGUUACUCCCCUUGCUGCGUAGAUACCCCGACAGGGUACGUGUGUCUCUCUUUCACACUCCAAAUCUGCGAGGACUCUUGCGUCUUCUUACACCAGAGAGGUUUAAUGAGACAAUCGGCCUGCAACACAUGAAGAUCUACCUGUUUGAUGACAAUGUUAUUCUUAGUGGAGCAAACCUGAGUGACUCCUACUUUACCAAUCGCCAGGACCGUUAUAUUCUGCUUCAGCGUUGCUCUGAAGUGGCAGAUUUCUUCAGUGAGUUGGUGGAGGCUGUUGGAGAUGUUUCCCUUCAGCUUGAGCCAGAUGAUACAAUUCAUAUAGAAGAGGGAAUGGAGCACCCGUAUGAAGGUGACAAAGCCAAAUACUGUGAAGCUGCCAAGAAAAGAGUAAUGAAAGUGAUAGAGACAGCAAGACACAAGCAGUGCGAGCUGCACAGCGCCAGCUUCCAGAGCCGCAAGCCAGCUGUGGGCGCCGAGCCACCGGAUACUUGGAUUUACCCAUUGAUACAAAUGAAGCCUUUUGGAAUACAGAUAGAUGAGCUUGUCACAGAGACAUUGCUGACUGAGGCGGAGCGCGGGGACAAGCUUCAUCUCACCACAGGCUACUUUAACCUGACACAGGGUUAUAUGGACUUGGUGCUGGGCACAAGGGCCGAUUACAACAUUCUCUUGGCCUCCCCUGAAGUUAAUGGCUUCUUCGGAGCUAAGGGCAUUGCAGGCGCUAUACCAGCAGCUUAUGUACAUAUAGAACAUCAGUUUUAUAAUGAAGUCUAUAAACAAGGGCAGCGCCUGCGAGUCCAACUCCGAGAGUAUUUCAGAGAGCACUGGACGUUCCAUGCUAAAGGGCUGUGGCUGUAUCCUGCAGGUAAAAGCAUGCCGUGUCUUACCCUUAUUGGCUCGCCAAAUUUUGGGUACAGAUCUGUUCAUCGAGACCUAGAGGCACAGAUCGCCCUAGUGACUGAAAACCAAGACUUACAGCUGCAGCUCCAUCAGGAGCAGCAGCAUCUGUAUGAGCAAUCGACUGAAGUCACCGCGGCCACCUUCCAGCAUCCGAGCCGUUAUGUGAAGCUCUGGGUAAAGCUAGUUACACCUCUGAUAAAGAAUUUCUUCUGAGGUCCUGGUCACGAGUGUAAGCGGACGUGCACUGCACUGAUGGAAGUUGUUCCAAUAUGGACACCGUCUCCUGAGGAUUCGCCAAGAUGCCUUUUUAUUGAGGACAUUUUUUGCUCAAGUAUUACAGAAUCUUUACGACUUCUUCUGCCCCUUGCCAGCUCUCGAGGCAUCUUGAAUAUGGAAAAAAGGUUCUGUGACCACCUGGAAACCAUCUACAAGGUGCUCCAGACUUAAUGGUUUGUGAAAACUUCUGCCAGUAGUGCAAGUGCUAAUGGAUUUGGUGUUCAGUUUAGACCAUGAUUCUUUAAAAAGU